rnacentral:lncRNA from 1 species
UCUCUCCUCUCUCUGGGCCAUCUUCAAAUACCAGCUGCAUUUCCUAGACCCUGCUUUGAGGGGGAAGAUAUCCAUUCUUCCUCUAUCCUUUUUACCAUCAACUAAUUCCUCCAUUACAAAUGUCACCAGAAGUUUCUUUACAUCUCAUUAUGAUUAACAAAUCUUUGCUUUUUUACUUCCUAUACCAUUAGAUGCUUUACUUGGUUUCAGUUCCUGAAAAGAGCAACUUCCUCAAGAAUUAUCUCAUCCCCUGAAAUCUUAUCUUGGUGAUAAAUCAGCUUUGAUACUCAACACCUUCUCCAUACCCUCAAAUUGCCUUUCCCCUCCUAUUGGAGAGCUGGAGGUCAGGACAAUGAAGUCAUCCCAAGGCCUCCUUUAUAAAGCUAAUCAAAUCAAGAACUUAAAGUACCUCUACUUGGCACUAAGUAAGAGAGUUUGAAGCCACUUGCCUUCCUUUCCUGGCUUCUGGAGAGAUUGGUUCCAGAGAGACCUUCCUUUCCCAGAGGAGGCUGUGUUGGUGGAACCCUGGCUGAAGACAGCAAGACCAUUGGGACUCCUGGUUUAAGAGACUACCAUGACUCCACAUGGAGACCGAGACUUCAGAGCCCUUCCCAGGUGGUGAACUAGACUUCAUCAGACAGAAAUUAUAGAGUAUCUAGCUAGGCAAUACUUUCUACUUCCUUUCUACAUUUCUCUCUUUUACUAUCUAUAUCUCUAUAUCUUUGUGCCUCACUUAAUACAUUGAGAGUUUGAAACUACUGUUAACUCUGCUUUCUGUGUAUGUAUCACC